UGGGCAAUCAUUUGUGGCCAGGUCGCUUCUGAAAAAGAGCUAUGUAGCUCAGUGGGCCUUACCUGGUAAACUAAAAUAGUUUGCGCUUGGUUGGUUGGCCCCAUAGGUGGAGUUUGUGGGGGGGGGGGGCACCGGGGGGCAAUGCCCCACCCAAACUGGACACCUCUAUUAAUUUAUUUUCAGUAGUUUGCAAUUAAGAUUAAAAAUACAUAAAUUAUAUGUACCUGCCCUCCCAAAUCUAGAAGUCAAUUUCGGCCUAUGGUUGGCCCCUAAAUGUGUCAUUAUUCUCUUCCAAGCAAUCCUCAUGACAACAAUGUAUUUACGUACGAUAGGGGGCUAUAGGGUCUGUGUUUCUUCAAGUCCCCUUGCAUCACCCUUGAAUUCUUAUAGGGGGAAGUUCUAGAUGGCACACUUGAAAGAGGAAACUGCCCUUCCGAGUAUGAAAAAAGGGGAACACCCCUGUACCUAAUUAAUGUAACUCUGGACACCAUUUAAUAAUAAAAUGGGUCCAGUGUUUAGAACAGAAUGAGCGAACUUAAGGACUAGAGGUUACACGGAAAUUAAAUGCCACCUCACAGAACGAUGCCUCAAUCUGCCCAUAUAGCAGGCUGCUUUGCCACAUCUGUGCUCACUGCCCUGACCGAUAGCACACCACAGGGAGUGUUUCGGCCUCGCUGUGUGCUGCGUUGCACCACUAUCUGAGUAGUUAACCUCGCAUUCAAUAGAAUGAAGUAAAACUGAUGGAAAAACACAGCACAAAAUACAGCAUCUGUUAAUACUUGCAAUAUCAAUGCAAUGAAUGAACACUGCAGCAUCAUAAUAUUGUCUUAGAUAACAUUAAUCUCAACAAUAGGUCCUGGAUGGACCAGGCACCUACAUUAGCACUGAAUAGAUAUACAAUAGAAUAAGCUACCGUGUUUAAUAAGGUCACUUUGUGUAAUCACCAUAUAUGCAGCCUAAAUGUACAGUGCUGCAUAUAACACUGAACUGUGGAUGCGAUACUUCUUCAUCCUUGCUCUGAAGAACGCAUUAAAGUUACAUAAGUCUGGCUUGACUUAUCCAACUACAAAUAACAUUCACAAUAAUGCAAGUGGCAGGCUUUGUUGUUUACUAGGCCUCAUAUUUAUCAUAACAAUAUAACAGCAUUAUAAAGGCACCCGUCUUCACUGAGAUCCUAAUCGUGUCUCCAUUUUGUCCUCUUUGUAAUGAUUGACACCCCUGCCUCGUGGCUUAGAGAACCUUAAAUCGUAACUUUCUGGUCAUGUGACCAAACUCAACACCAUAUCAGAAAGUUCCUGUGUAAGCACACCCCCAUAUCUGCCGUGGGGCAGAACAGGCAGGUUGUCCACUUCCAUACUCACCUCGCCCAACCACCCAGCCAUUUUAGUGAAGAGAACACAGCUAAUAUUUACAUAAAUAGAUUUAUUUUACUAUACAUCAUCUAACGUUUGCCUUCCAUAAACUAUUUUUGAAAACAAAGUAUUUUUUUUAUCUUGCUUCUAAACUCCUACUCCGUUACCUCGCCUGGGUUCUGUGGGAUGAGACACUAAGUUCGAUCAUGUAUAUACUGGACAUCGGUGAAAAAUAGCUUCAUAGCUCACUGAAUUCCUCCAGCAUGAAUACAUAUUCUGAUUCUGAAGUGAUGGGGGAUAGGGGAAGGAGAAAUUAGGCUUGUGGAGGUGGAGGAGCCUGGGGGUGGGAGGGUUUGAGCUGGAGGGGACCCUCAUUAGGUUCUCAGGUGCGAGGGCUAAUGGCCUGGGAUACAUCAGCCUAGUCCCGGUAUACUCUGGAAUAAAAGUAAGGGUACAUUUAUUUACCUACUAACUCCUCCUGUGGUAAAUAGGAUUCACAGACAACAGAGUUGUAGAUACAUAUAGCUACACUAUUGCAUAUGUUGACUGCAUUUAACGCCAUAUAAAGAUUGUUUUAAUGUAUAUUUCAUAAUGUACGACCUAAUUUACGUGGUAUUUCCCAGGCACCAAUAGGAAUUUACGCAUACUAGAGAUUUUUUUGGGUUAGAUCGCGUAAAUAUAAAUGUGUUGUUAAGCCCACCACCACCCCACACAACCAAUUAGUAAGGUUUGUCACAUAAACAUCAUUUUAUGCCUAGAAUGUCGAGGUGGCUGCUUCUAGUUUAAGCCUAUUAAGUCUGAUGUGACACUCGAGGGAAGUGGAAACCUUGUCUUCCCCGGCACUGAUGUUGACACACAAUUCCACGUACUCAUUUUAGGCAAAGAUGACCUAUGGGAGGCCAUGGUCAGGUUCAGAUACCAAUUGGCAGCAGGCAGCAGGGCUAGACAUUUCAGCAACGCCACAGGGAUUGCACCUCAGUGCAUACAAAAUACACAGGGUACGUGGGUUGUUUAAUAUUGUCGUGUGUGUGUGUUUCAUCUCCACACAUUCGAAGGGGCAAUCCAGAUUGUAACAGUUUAUUAUUCAUCUCAGAUAUGUGACACACUUUUUUCCAAUGUGCUGAAACAUGUCUGUGUCAGGCAUGUCUUGUGUUGUGAAGGACAAACGUGUCUGUGUGCUUCAUGCAAAAAGGUAAAUAAGAGAUAUCCUAAAA